rfam:Parcubacteria bacterium GW2011_GWB1_48_6 TY30_C0002, whole genome shotgun sequence.
GCGCGGUUAGCUCAGUUGGUAGAGCGUCUCAUUGACGUUGAGAAGGCCAUAAGUUCGAAUCUUAUACCGCGCA